UGUUGGGCUGUUAUUUUAUAUGAUUUGCUGUGGAAUUUAGGGAAACAGCUCUUAAAACAUUCAGUAUUAUAGAUUAUUACCUUUUAUUAGGGCACUGAUGCAACUCAAUUCCCCCACCAGUUAACUGAUUUCAAAAGUAGCCAGUUGCCACUCACAUGGGGUAAAGUUCCUUUGAUACAAAUUAAAUUGCUUGCUGAUGAAAUGCACCUUUCAGCGACCUGUUUGAGUUUCAGCUGAUGCUGUAGCACACGCUGUGAUGUGAAUUCCAGUAUUGGUGCUAAAUCACAGUGGUGAUUUAUUAUUGGAUUUUCAGUCCUGAUGAGUCAGCACUGUAAGAUGUUUACCAAAUUAGACUUUCAAGAACAAUGGCAUUUCUCUCAUUCAAUAGAAAUCUUUGUUGCCAAUUCAGGCUAUUAUUUCCACAUGGUUAUGGGGUGGUAUGUUCACACUUAGGGCUCUCAUCAGAUAGUGUUUCUUUGCUUUUUCAGGAUCUGUCUUCAUUAGACUUCACGUGCUCAAUCAGCUUUGAAAGCUUUGAUUAAAAACCCUGGUCGCCAUCACGUGACAACGGUUCCUUUAUCACUUCUAAACAGUUCAAACUGUGCUUUCCUUUGCCAAAUAAGUCAAGAAAUAAGAAAUACCAUAUUGACUAGUGAAAAUCAUAUCCAAUUUUUUUCUUUUAUUUGAAAUAAAGUAAAAAAGCAGUACUUAGUAUCUACUAAUCAUUGUGAAGACCUCUUUAAAGGUAAGACCCAGAAAGCGUAGCUGGAACAGUGGGUGAGAUGGUGAGAAUGUGGCAGUGACUUUUGUUGGGGGAAAAGCUGAGGACUUUUUCCUCUAUUCAGUAAGUGUUUAUUGCCCUUCAUUCCAAAUAGGUGCUGUUACACUCUUAUACUUGCUUCUGGUGCAAGGGUAAACGUGAAAUCCUUGUCUUCAUGAAGAAUAUGGCCAUAAAAAAACAAACUCAAUGAAUAUGUAAAGUCACGUCAAAUUAUAAUUUCUGCAAGUGCUAGAGAUCUCCACUAAAAUUAAGGUUCUUUAAACUUCAGCAAAAGCAAGCAAAAUAGGGCCUGCUUAUUCCAAGCUCACUUCUGAGCGCAUCUGAAUACAAGCUUUUGUAACACAUCUUGCAAGCAGCAACUUCUUGGAAGCCCAUGAAGCGUUCUCAGUUAUAAAUUCAAGCUAAUUGUCAUAGAGCUUUAUAUUCUGAAUCUAAAUGGAAAUAAUCAGGAUGUAUCACGCUGACUAUUCCAGGCAUGUUUAGUGUGAUCCAGUCCAGAGAAAGAGCAACUACGCAAUCUUCAAGGACCUCAUUGAUCACUGAUUUAGGUAAUUAACAAAACCGUACUUUUUUCAUUAUUAGGCAAUAGUUAUAAUGAGAUCAAAUGCAAACCAAAAAAACAUUAUUAGCAGCUCAAAUCCUAGAGCAACGAAUCUCAGCAUUUGGCUUUUGUUUUUACUGCAAAACACAUGGCAAAUGAAGUUUACACGUGGCGCGAAGUUUCGUGGAGGUUUAAGGAUUUGCACAAUCCUGGGACACUGACUACAAUCCUACUCCCCUCUCAUUCACUCAGGAAUGCUCAUGGGAGUAUCAGUAACUGGAAGUGGAAUUAGGCUAGAAAUAACCCUGAUUCCUCUGAUCUAGUUUAUUUUUAAGUAAAUCAUUUGAACAAUGAUUAUUAUUCACAAAUUACUUAUGAACUGCGUCCCAAAGAAUCACAACAAAUGUGUGUACCAAAGCAAGACAUUGAGAACCACUGACCCUACUGACUAACUUCUGCUAAGCUUAGCCAUAGGUGCUCUGAAUUUUUAGAAAUUAGAAAGUAGAAUUUUUAGAAAUUCAUUAUGUAGUUAAAUAUCAACAACCAAAUCCAAGUAGUGCCAAACACUUAAUUUGCAUUAGUGCUUUUCUCUUAUAUGGCUUCCAUUUUCUCUUUCAGUUUAGUGGCAGGAAAGGGAGAGAGCUGGUUAGCUCUCUAGAAAGCAGGUAGUUCCUUUCCUCUGCAGCCUUGAUGUCUUUCAGACCUCAUUGACAAAGUGUUGAUCUGCGGAAGUAGUUAGCUCAGGUCAAGUGUUCCUGCAGCCCAGCCUGUGAGCAUUCACUUCAAUCGAAAUCCCUGUGGUCCCUGCCAGCAACUCUGGUCCACAGAUGUCUCCGGAUGCGGCCCCACCCUUGCUUGGUUGCUGCAGUGGGAUUUGCAGAUGAUCUGCACACCAGAGUCAUUACCAACCUUAAGGGGGACUUCAAUGAAAGGAACCAAAGAAACCAGCAGACUAUAUUUACGCAGAGAUCAUUUUCAUGGUGAAGAAAUAAAACCAGCUCUUCUGUAGAACAGAGCUAUCACUGGGUGCAGUCACAGUACACUGCGAUUUGCAAACAGGGAAAUGAAGGCAAGCUCAUUUGAAGGAAACUAUGUGAGAAUUUUAGAUCAAGCCAAUGCAAUUACCCAAGUUGGAAUUACUCCAGGACACCGAAACACACACCUAAGGUACUUCCAAAUGCCAUCUUCCACCUGAGUGGAAUUUUUCUUCAUGGAAGCAGAAGGCAAACAGAGUGAACACUGACCCAGCUUUCAGAGUAGGUGGGGAGGAAGCACAGCCCGACUCCUGGAAGGAAGCACGCCUUCUAAUAAAACCUGGGUCGUAGAGUCUUACAGACUAAUGCUAACGCAGCACAAGGUUGACAAAGAAUCUUUUAAGUAUACACUGGAAACCCUGUUGCAGACCAUGGAAUAGAAUGACGCCAGCCUCACCCGGGAAGCUUCAGAUAAGAGGAGUGUGUGACCUCAGUACCGGAGUACCAGUGCCUUGGGCCAGAAAAUGAAACCACCAAUACCCAUCGCUGUGACUCUUUAAAGGCAACUCUCACCAUUUCUAAGAGUUUUUUGCCUCAUGAACAUUGCAUGGAUCUUCAUCUAUUAAGAAGGGGGAAAAAGAAGAAAAGAAAGGGAGGAAAGAAGAAAGCUAAGGAGGACAGGAGGGGCAAGACAGAGGAAGAGAGAGAGAGAAGAGCCAAAAAGGAGCCCACUGGAAAGUAAAUUGCAGAGGGGAAUGCAUCAACGUGGAGCAGAUGCGCUGAGACCAACUGCUCUCUUCCUCAUGAUUACAGUGGGUUAUACCUGUGGAUAGGCAAGCUAAUUCUCCUGCAAAUGUGCAAGAGAGGGUAGUACUGACGUACAAUGUGUAGUCCUGGAGGCUUUGUUCUCACAUAAUAGGGUGCUUCAUUUCACAAGACCUGGCACGUAGAGAACACUGAAGCAAACAGCCCCCAUGAAGUUGGAAUCCUGAUCUGUGUCUGUAUGGCUUGCAGAAUGCCCUGGUUCUCAGCAAUGUUGACAUAAAUAUUGUGGAAUUUCUUAUUUGGAGUUGGAAAGUAAUGAUUCUUUCCACUUAAUGUGCUCAGUGACUCUGCACCCUAUUGUUUUCUGCCAUUUGAAAAUGCCCGGGGAUGUCAUUAUAACUACAUGUAUCAAUAUUAAACCUUUACAAACAGUUGACUAAAUGAGCUGUUAUUAUCUUUGUUUCUGAAAAUAGUGUACCUUUUUACUUCAUUUAUCAGUAACUAGGUAUAGUCGAUUGUGCUCUGGUAUUGAUUCCAAUAUCUAUACCCAUCACAGACUACCUUUCUUCAAGGUCACUGUGAGGUCAGGUUAUGAUCAAUAUGAAUUGACUGUCUGAAAAUAAAUUUAUAUAGCUGACAUAAUUGCAAGUAAUACCCUUUUCAAAUUAAGGUGGACCAUUUAUGAAGCAUAUGUGUUUGAAACAUUAGCGGUAACAUUAUCCAACUCUGCAUAAUGAACCAAUCUUGCUAGAAUUUACAAGUCCUUUUUGUAUUACUGAAAGCUGUGUAAACUCCAUGAUAACCAUUUCUAAAUCACACCUGCAGAGCUUCAAGCUUUGGGUUUAGUGUAGAUGCUAAUUAUGUUUUCCAAGCAAUGAUAUUUUCCUACGUAGUCUCUGUGCAUUUUUAUUUCCAAUUUUCAAGUCUCGUUUCUAUCAGUGGUAUUUAAGGGUUCAGGGUGGAAUGUUUAGUCACCCUCAUCAGAGGACCACGUUUGGUAAAACCAACUGUCUUGAGUAGAAAUAGCAUCAUCAAAGGCAGAGCUUAUUCCAGUGCCAUUCUGUACCAUGGGCCAGUCGCACUUUCCGGAGACGCACUUGUGAUCA